AUAUCUCUCCGUACGGGAAGGAUGAGAAGCUUCGACUAAGGUUCGAUUCGAGCGAAAGCGAGAAAGCGUUGCCAACGGCAACGACCCGAAGGGCGAAGCGCGCAGCGCUGAGUCAUCCUUCCCCCACCACCA
rnacentral:sRNA from 21 species